GCCAGCAGCCAUAUCACCCUGCAACUCACAACUGGCAGCUCCACUGAAGCUCAGCAGGUGUGAGCCUGGUCAGUACCUGGAUGGGAGACCUCCUGGGGUCUAAGGUUGCUGCAGGAG
rnacentral:rRNA from 1 species